AACGCCGAAUUGGGUGGUAUUGGCCAAUGUGUAUAUGGUUUGUCCGAUGCCAAUGACAUGCCAUUCAUUUUUGUCCAAUACAGGGGGUAUUCCCUUACACACAGGAUGCCUCUUUUCCAACAAGUCAGUUCGUCAAAUUUCUGCUCUGCGAGAGCUGCAUGUGCUGUUAUUGUGAAGUGGAAACGUCUAGGAGCAACAACGACUCAGCCACGAAGUGGUAGGCCACACAAGCUCACAGAACGAGACCCCUGAGUGUUGAAGUGAAAAUCGUCUGUCCUCGGCUGCAAUGCUAACGAGUUCCAAGCUGUCCAUUGUUUGAUGCAUGCAACAUCUGAGCAGGGGAACACGACCUAUAUGUGUAAAAGGAUUGGAGAAAUCUAAGCCAUUUUGAUGACUGACAAUCCAUUUAAAAUGGCUUGGAAUAAAAUGUAGGCCUAUAAUAGAGUGUAAUGUAAAUGUUGAUUAUCUAUAUCAAGGAUGUCAAAAACUCUAAUCCUGGAGGGCAGUAAAGUACAAGGCAGGAGUGAAAAGCAGCAGACACUCGGCCCUCCAGGAAUUGAGUUCGGCACCCUGCUUUAUAUUCUAGGGCAGACGUAUUCAACUCUGACCCUACGAGGAGCCUGCUGGUUUUCUGUUCUACCUAAUAAUGAAUUGCCCCCACGUGGUGUCCCAGGUCUAACUCAGUCCCUGAUUAGAGGGGAACCACCCACGUGGUGUCCCAGGUCUAACUCAGUCCCCGAUUAGAGGGGAACCACCCACGUGGUGUCCCAGGUCUAACUCAGUCCCCGAUUAGAGGGGAACCACCCACGUGGUGUCCCAGGUCUAACUCAGUCCCCGAUUAGAGGGGAACCACCCACGUGGUGUCCCAGGUCUAACUCAGUCCCCGAUUAGAGGGGAACCACCCACGUGGUGUCCCAGGUCUAACUCAGUCCCCGAUUAGAGGGGAACCACCCACGUGGUGUCCCAGGUCUAACUCAGUCCCCGAUUAGAGGGGAACCACCCACGUGGUGUCCCAGGUCUAACUCAGUCCCCGAUUAGAGGGGAACCACCCACGUGGUGUCCCAGGUCUAACUCAGUCCCCGAUUAGAGGGGAACCACCCACGUGGUGUCCCAGGUCUAACUCAGUCCCUGAUCAGAGGGGAACCACCCACAUGGUGUCCCAGGGCUAACUCAGUCCCUGAUCAGAGGGGAACCACCCACAUGGUGUCCCAGGUCUAACUCAGUCCCUGAUCAGAGGGGAACCACCCACAUGGUGUCCCAGGUCUAACUCAGUCCCUGAUUAGAGGGGAACCACCCACAUGGUGUCCCAGGUCUAACUCAGUCCCUGAUUAGAGGGGAACCACCCACAUGGUGUCCCAGGUCUAACUCAGUCCCUGAUUAGAGGGGAACCACCCACAUGGUGUCCCAGGUCUAACUCAGUCCCUGAUCAGAGGGGAACCACCCACAUGGUGUCCCAGGUCUAACUCAGUCCCUGAUCAGAGGGGAACCACCCACAUGGUGUCCCAGGUCUAACUCAGUCCCUGAUUAGAGGGGAACCACCCACAUGGUGUCCCAGGUCUAACUCAGUCCCUGAUUAGAGGGGAACCACCCACAUGGUGUCCCAGGUCUAACUCAGUCCCUGAUUAGAGGGGAACCACCCACAUGGUGUCCCAGGUCUAACUCAGUCCCUGAUUAGAGGGGAACCACCCACAUGGUGUCCCAGGUCUAACUCAGUCCCUGAUCAGAGGGGAACCACCCACAUGGUGUCCCAGGUCUAACUCAGUCCCUGAUCAGAGGGGAACCACCCACAUGGUGUCCCAGGUCUAACUCAGUCCCUGAUUAGAGGGGAACCACCCACAUGGUGUCCCAGGUCUAACUCAGUCCCUGAUUAGAGGGGAACCACCCACAUGGUGUCCCAGGUCUAACUCAGUCCCUGAUUAGAGGGGAACCACCCACAUGGUGUCCCAGGUCUAACUCAGUCCCUGAUCAGAGGGGAACCACCCACAUGGUGUCCCAGGUCUAACUCAGUCCCUGAUCAGAGGGGAACCACCCACAUGGUGUCCCAGGUCUAACUCAGUCCCUGAUCAGAGGGGAACCACCCACAUGGUGUCCCAGGUCUAACUCAGUCCCUGAUUAGAGGGGAACCACCCACAUGGUGUCCCAGGUCUAACUCAGUCCCUGAUUAGAGGGGAACCACCCACAUGGUGUCCCAGGUCUAACUCAGUCCCUGAUUAGAGGGGAACCACCCACAUGGUGUCCCAGGUCUAACUCAGUCCCUGAUUAGAGGGGAACCACCCACAUGGUGUCCCAGGUCUAACUCAGUCCCUGAUUAGAGGGGAACCACCCACAUGGUGUCCCAGGUCUAACUCAGUCCCUGAUUAGAGGGGAACCACCCACAUGGUGUCCCAGGUCUAACUCAGUCCCUGAUUAGAGGGGAACCACCCACAUGGUGUCCCAGGUCUAACUCAGUCCACCCACAUGGUGUUGCCUCUUUGGAGGGCAUUUCUGUUUGAACCUUAUAUUUAUGGGGAAAAGGAAGAAAACAAAACCAUGAACAUUUUACACCAUUUGACCAAACAGAG